GACCGGCGCUCGGGUGAGUAACACGUAUGCAACCUGCCCGCCACAGGGGGAUAAGCGGAAGAAAUUCCGUCUAAUACCGCGUGACGCGGCGCCGGGGCAUCCCGGUGCCGCCAAAGGGAUUACCGGUGGCGGAGGGGCAUGCGGCGCAUUAGCUAGUCGGCGGGGUAACGGCCCACCGAGGCGACGAUGCGUAGGGGUUCUGAGAGGAAGGUCCCCCACACUGGUACUGAGACACGGACCAGACUCCUACGGGAGGCAGCAGUGAGGAAUAUUGGUCAAUGGGCGCGAGCCUGAACCAGCCAAGUCGCGUGAGGGAUGACGGUCCUACGGAUUGUAAACCUCUUUUGCCGGGGAGCAAGCGUGCGUUCGUGAACGCACGUCGAGAGUACCCGGAGAAAAAGCAUCGGCUAACUCCGUGCCAGCAGCCGCGGUAAUACGGAGGAUGCGAGCGUUAUCCGGAUUUAUUGGGUUUAAAGGGUGCGUAGGCGGGAUGCCAAGUCAGCGGUAAAAAUGCGGUGCUCAACGCCGUCGAGCCGUUGAAACUGGCGUUCUUGAGUGGGCGAGAAGUAUGCGGAAUGCGUGGUGUAGCGGUGAAAUGCAUAGAUAUCACGCAGAACUCCGAUUGCGAAGGCAGCAUACCGGCGCCCUACUGACGCUGAGGCACGAAAGCGUGGGUAUCGAACAGGAUU
rnacentral:rRNA from 1 species